rnacentral:snRNA from 1 species
GGAUGUGUGGGUGAUCUGGCUGCGACAUCUGUCACCCCAUUAAUUGCCAGGGUUGAUUUGGCUGAUCUGGCUGGCCAGGCGGGUGUCCCCUUCCUUCUUCACCGCCCCAUGUGCGUCCCUCCCGAAGCUGCACACUUGGUGGAAGAGGAUGACAUCCGAGGUAUAGAAGGAGUGUACCGAGGUCUCCAGUCUUUGGUCCUGCUAGAACAUCCAAACAAGCACAAAGUCUAUUUCUCUUGUCAAAGAAGGAAAAUUCAUGGUCAAAAGCUAGCUUUUAGGGGAACAGCUUUCAUCU